rnacentral:rRNA from 1 species
GACGAACGCUGGCGGCGUGCUUAACACAUGCAAGUCGAACGGAAAGGCCCUGCUUUUGUGGGGUGCUCGAGUGGCGAACGGGUGAGUAACACGUGAGUAACCUGCCCUUGCCUUGGGGAUAACUUCGGGAAACGGGGGCUAUAACCGGAUGGGAGCUCUGCCUCCAUGGGGGGGGUUGGAAAGUUUCGGCGGUUGGGGAUGGACUCGCGGCUUAUCAGCUUGUUGGUGGGGUAGUGGCUUACCAGGGCUUUGACGGGUAGCCGGCCUGAGAGGGUGACCGGCCACAUUGGGACUGAGAUACGGCCCAGACUCCUACGGGAGGCAGCAGUGGGGAAUAUUGCACAAUGGGCGGAAGCCUGAUGCAGCAACGCCGCGUGCGGGAUAACGGCCUUCGGGUUGUAAACCGCUUUCGCCUGUGACGAAGCGUGAGUGACGGUAAUGGGUAAAGAAGCACCGGCUAACUACGUG